UGGAUCUCUUACUAAUUAAAAGAGAAGGUGUAAAACAAUCUCACAUGAGUGAUAUCACAAUUACUCAACAUGUCUUUUUAUGUACAUAUAUAUACCUGCAAAAAUGAGUUGUUUGCAUAACUUGUUUCUCCAUCACCUCCAUUCAUGUGCACCUGCCCCAAGUUCAUUCUCGCGUUUUAUUUCCCCCUUUUUCAAUCCUCUGUGUUUAAUAAGUAAUAACAGGUCUUAUGUUCGAGGGGGUGUGUGUAUAUAUAUAUUCUUAUCACCAAACACUUCAAAGCAAGGUAUUUUUGAUGCUAAGUUCACGUUAGGUAUCUCAAAUGAGGGUUUAUACUAGAAGACAAUUAAAAGAGGCGGAAUAUAAAAAAACUGUGAAAAUAAAAUACUUCAUUCAUAACCUCUAAAGAGGCAGCUGAUACACUUAUAUAGUUAGGGUUUUAGAUACUAAUGGAUCAAAUACUAAUGGGCCCAAGGCCUCUUGAAGGAAAGACAAAUAAUUUAAAUAACACUUGCAUAAAAUAAAACAGGCCAAUUAAAAUAAAAUUCACUUAGUGACAAAGUCAUUGUUCCAAGAAGGCUUGAAUAUCUUCCUUUUGGGCUUCUGCACACUUGGCCCGCUAACA
rnacentral:lncRNA from 1 species